rnacentral:rRNA from 1 species
CCUACGGGUGGCAGCAGUAGGGAAUUUUCGUCAAUGGGCGCAAGCCUGAACGAGCAAUGCCGCGUGAACGAGGAAGGUCUUCGGAUCGUAAAGUUCUGUUGAAGGGGAAAAAGAGCGGAGAGAGGAAAUGAACUCCGAUUGAUAUUACCCUUCGAGGAAGUCACGGCUAACUACGUGCCAGCAGCCGCGGUAAUACGUAGGUGGCGAGCGUUAUCGGGAUUGAAUGGGCGUAAAGGGUGCGUAGGCGGCCUGCGAAGUCUGGAGAGAAAGGUACCGGCUCAACCGGUACAGGCUCUGGAAACUGGCGGGCUAGAGGGCAGGAGGGGGAGGGGGAAGUCCAUGUGUAGCGGUAAAAUGCGUAGAUAUACGGAGGAACACCAGUGGCGAAGGCGGCCUGCUGGACAAUAACUGACGCUGAGGCGCGAAGGCGUGGGGAGCAAACAGGAUUAGAUACCCGUGUAGUC